UUAAGCCUUACCCAUAUUCAAUUUAAAUUACAAUGGAAAGUAAAAGUAUUUGAUAUCUAAUAAUCCAUUUACAUUUGUUAGAGAUCUCAAUUUAAAUCACCGUGCCUAUGGCCUGACAGAUGAGUUACUAGAGUUUGAUUUUCAUGGGAUUUAUAAUGUUUUAAAACUCAUUAACAUUUUAAAUAUUUACUAUUUCUUUUUAUUACAUAAAGUAGCACACCAACUGAAAAUUACUUCUAAACUAAAUUUAAUUCAGAACAGUUAUUAAAACAAUAUAUGUUAAAAAAUGACAUUUUAAAAAGAAAAGCAAAUGUGAAGAAGAUAUAGAGAAAUGCUGGAGUAUCCAUUGUCAGAACGAUUAAAUUUCAGUUCAGAGGGACUUUGAAAAUCAGUUAACUUGUCCAUCCUUCGUCAUGUUAUACACAGGCUGCCUCUUUGCAUGUUCCUUGAAGCUGUGCAGGACAGAGCCUGUGUGGCCUCGCCCAGUGCCCUGGUGAUAGAUGGGAAAAUGGACUUAAAUGUACUUGCCCCAGGCUUCUUAAAAGUUUGCACUGAGAAGAGAGCUAACCAAAACAAGGAAGGAAGAGAGGAAGAAGAGGAGGAAUCUGAGAGAAGAAAGUACAGAAGAAAGGAAAAGGUAGAAAGAAAAAAAUUAAAAGGUAAGAAAUACAGGGAAGAACUAGUGGGGCCAAUUAAAUAAAAGGAAUCUGAAUAAAGAUUCUAUUUUCUGAAGAGUAAUAAAAUACCUUUCCUUAUGUCCUGACCCCAGGUACAGGGACCUGUUUUCUCCAGAUGUAGUAACUGCUUCAAAGGAAGCUUCAGACCAGGAGCAAGUAACUUUGCCAAGCCAAGGAACUGCAAAAUGGACAUUCCACGCUACAGAAAGCAUUUAUUUUGGAGAGUUAGAUCUAUCUUCUUCAUUUGCUUGGUAAAUUCAGGCUAGUUUUCACCAUAAUAUUAUUAUAACUUUUAUACAAGAUCUGCUGUAAAAUUUUAUGUAAACCAAGUGUUUAAUGAUAGGGAGCCACAGAACAAUUCUAGGACGUUAAAUUCUUUUCAGAGAGGAAAGCUGAGUGUGGCCAUUGUACAUGUGUGUUUAAUGAUCUUCUGUGCUUGCUCUUAUAAUUAUAUCACAGUCAUUAGUUUACUCACAAAGACUUGUAGAUAUGAUAUAUGAAUGUAGAAUGUAUUACUAUUAUAAUAAUUUUUUCUUGAGACAGAGUGUCGCUCUGUCACCCAGGCUGGAGUGCAGUCACAUGAUCUCAGUUCACAGCAUUCUCCGCCUCCCAGGUUCAAUGGAUUCUCCUGCCUCAGCUUCCCGAGUAGCUGGGAUUAUAGGCAUGCACCACCACACCCGGCUAAUUUUUUAGCAUUUUUGGUAGAGAUGAGGUUUCACCAUGUUGUCUAGGCUAGUCUCGAACUCCUGGCCUCAAGUGAUCCACUCGCCUCAGCCUCCUGAAGUGCUGGGAUUACAGGCGGGAGCCACUGUGCUCAGCAGCAAUUAAAAUAAUUUUAACAACUAACUUGAAUUAAACCCAUUCUUUCUUAGCAUAGCCUUGUUCAAUCAAAUUAAAACUGCACCCCUAACACUCUGUCCCCUAUACCUUUUACUUUUUCAAUAGACUAAUUGCCACUCUAAAAUUUUACCUUACGUAUUAUUGUUCGUCUCCUUUCAGAGAAUAUAAACUCUGGGGCCGGAGUUGCUCUGUUUUGUUCCCUGCUCUAUCUCCAGGUCCUGGUUCGGGGCCUGCAUGAAAUAGGUGCUAGUAAUUAUUCAUCGAAUGAAUGUAUGAAAAAAUGAGUGAAUACAUCAGCAAAUGAAUGUCAUGUUCCAAGAACUACAUUUUUACUUACCUACGUUUUUUAGCUUGAUUGUCGCAUCACAUCAUUCCAAGGUAGGAAGUCAUCUUCAGAAUGUCUGAGUUACUUGCCCAAAGUCUUAACAGGUAUUAAGUAUCAGGGCAUGACCCAGGCCUUCUGAUUCCAAAGCCCUUCAACAACUAUGCUAUAAAAUAAUAGUUCUUGUGUAUGUGUGUGUGUGUGUCUUGUGUGUGUAUGCACAUGCAUGCAUGCACACACUUAAGCCUUGCAGUUAGAUUGCCCUAAAUUUUCUGAUUAAAAAAAAAAAAACAGUUAUAUGCAACCAAAAGAUGAUGACAAGACAAAAAUGGAACUGUUAAAAGAUAAAAAUAAAUGUUUAGCUUUCUUUAGUUACUGCUAAAAAGAGAAUUGCUUGUGGGAG
ensembl:lncRNA